UACGUAGGGACCAAGCGUUGUUCGGAUUUACUGGGCGUAAAGGGCGCGUAGGCGGCGUGUUAAGUCAGCUGUGAAAUCUCCAAGCUUAACUUGGAACGGUCAGCUGAUACUGAUGUGCUAGAGUGCAGGAGGGGCAAUCGGAAUUCUUGGUGUAGCGGUGAAAUGCGUAGAUAUCAAGAGGAACACCUGAGGUGAAGACGGGUUGCUGGGCUGACACUGACGCUGAGGCGCGAAAGCUAGGGUAGCAAACGGG
rnacentral:rRNA from 1 species